rnacentral:RNase_P_RNA from 1 species
UGAGCGAGCUGGGUGAUCGCUUUGCCGUAUGAUACGGCAGGGAGGAAAGUCCGGGCUCCGCAGGGCAAGGUGGUUGUUAACGGCAACCGGCUGGGUGAGCUUGCUAUGCAAGUUCGUCAGGCUAGGGAAAGUGCCACAGAAAAGAAAACCCUGGUGAGGUGUAGGACGGGAUUUAUCCCAUGCGUCUCAUCUGGAAAGCUGAAACGGUGGUGUAAGAGACCACCAGCUCCGCCGUGAGGCGGAGGCUUGGUAAACCCCACCUGGAGCAAGGCCGAAUAGGGGAGGGU